UACAGAGGGGGCAAGCGUUGUUCGGAAUUACUGGGCGUAAAGGGCGCGUAGGCGGCCUUCUAAGUCGAACGUGAAAUCCCCGGGCUCAACCCGGGAACUGCGUCCGAUACUGGAAGGCUUGAAUCCGGGAGAGGGAUGUGGAAUUCCAGGUGUAGCGGUGAAAUGCGUAGAUAUCUGGAGGAACACCGGUGGCGAAGGCGACAUCCUGGCCUGUUCUUGACGCUGAGGCGCGAAAGCUAGGGGAGCGAAUGGG
rnacentral:rRNA from 1 species